rnacentral:tRNA from 1 species
ACCUGGCUGGCUCAGCUGGUAGAGCAUGAGACUCUUGAUCUCGGGGUUGUGAGUUCAAGCCCCACAUUGGGUG